GCAUAUCAAUAAGCGGAGGAAAAAGAAACCAACAGGGGAUUGCCCUAGUAACGGCGAAGUGAAGCGGCAACAGCUCAAAUUUGAAAUCUGGUCCUUUCAGGGCCCGAGUUGUAAUUUGCAGAGGAUGCUUCGGGUACGGGUGCCUACUGAGUUCCCUGGAACGGGACGCCAUAGAGGGUGAGAGCCCCGUCUAGUAGGAUACCCAGCCCAUGUGAAGCUCCCUCGACGAGUCGAGUAGUUUGGGAAUGCUGCUCUAACGGGAGGUAUACUCCUUCCAAGGCUAAAUACCGGCUGGAGACCGAUAGCGCACAAGUAGAGUGAUCGAAAGAUGAAAAGCACUUUGAAAAGAGAGUCAAAUAGCACGUGAAAUUGUUGAAAGGGAAGCGCUCGCUACCAGACUUGAGUUAGGCGGUUCAACCGGGGCCACGCCCCGGGGCACUCCACCUGCUCAGGCCAGCAUCAGCUUUCCGUCGGGGGCAAAGGCGUCGGGAAUGUGGCUCUCCCUCGGGAGAGUGUUAUAGCCCGGCGUGUCAUACCCUUCGGGGGGCUGAGGUACGCGCUUCUGCAAGGAUGCUGGCGUAAUGGUAGCUAGUGACCCGUCUUGAAACACGGACCAAGGAGUCAACCUUAUGUGCGAGUGCCCGGGCGUAAAACCCCAGCGCGGAAUGAAAGUGAACGUAGGUGAGAGCUUCGGCGCAUCACCGACCGAUCCUGAUGUCCUCGGACGGAUUUGAGUGAGAGCAUAUAGGGUUGGACCCGAAAGAAGAUGAACUAUGCGUGUGUAGGGUGAAGCCAGAGGAAACUCUGGUGGAGGCUCGCAGCGGUUCUGACGUGCAAAUCGAUCGUCAAACAUGCGCAUGGGGGGCGAAAGACUAAUCGAAUCUUCUGGUAGCUGGGUUUCCGCGA
rnacentral:rRNA from 1 species